GGCUCAGGACGAACGCUGGCGGCGUGCCUAACACAUGCAAGUCGAACGGGGAUUUGUUUCGGCAGAAUCCUAGUGGCGAACGGGUGAGUAACGCGUAGGCAACCUGCCCUCCGGCCGGGGACAACACUCCGAAAGGGGUGCUAAUACCGGAUACGAAGUCUGUGCCGCAUGGUACGGAUUUGAAAGAUGGCCUCUAUUUAUAAGCUAUCGGCCGGGGGAGUGGGCCUGCGUCCGAUUAGCUGGUUGGUGGGGUAACGGCCUACCAAGGCGACGAUCGGUAGCCGGUCUGAGAGGAUGAACGGCCACAUUGGGACUGAGACACGGCCCAGACUCCGUACGGGAGGCAGCAGGUGGGGAAUCUUCCGCAAUGGGCGCAAGCCUGACGGAGCAACGCCGCGUGAGUGAGGAAGUUCUUCGGAAACGUAAAGCUCUGUUGUUCCUGACGAACCCUCCCUUCUAUCAACAACGGAGGGGACUGACGGUAGGGAACGAGGAAGCCACGGCUAACUACGUGCCAGCCGCGGC
rnacentral:rRNA from 1 species